GACGAACGCUGGCGGCGUGCUUAACACAUGCAAGUCGAACGGAAAGGCCCUGCUUUUGUGGGGUGCUCGAGUGGCGAACGGGUGAGUAACACGUGAGUAACCUGCCCUUGACUUUGGGAUAACUUCAGGAAACUGGGGCUAAUACCGGAUAGGAGCUCCUGCUGCAUGGUGGGGGUUGGAAAGUUUCGGCGGUUGGGGAUGGACUCGCGGCUUAUCAGCUUGUUGGUGGGGUAGUGGCUUACCAAGGCUUUGACGGGUAGCCGGCCUGAGAGGGUGACCGGCGACAUUGGGACUGAGAUACGGACCAGACUCCUACGGGAGGCAGCAGUGGGGAAUAUUGCACAAUGGGCGGAAGCCUGAUGCAGCAACGCCGCGUGCGGGAUGACGGCCUGCGGGUUGUAAACCGCUUUCGCCUGUGACGAAGCGUGAGUGACGGUAAUGGGUAAAGAAGCACCGGCUAACUACGUG
rnacentral:rRNA from 1 species